GGGGGCGUAGCUCAGUUGGUAGAGCACCUGGUUUGCAACCAGGCGGCCGUGGGUUCGAGUCCCGUCGCCUCCACCA
rnacentral:tRNA from 1 species